AGGACCUCACAGCAAUUAUCAGUCAGCAGUUCCAGCUGCUUGGUAAAGUGUUAAGACCAAAGCAAACAGAUCACAGCUCUGGGGCUGGAAGCAGAGGAGCUGUAAUUACUUUGCAGUCUGACUGUUGCCCCCAUCUCCAGAUACAGGGAGACCCCCGGUGCACCCAGCUUCUAACAAAGAGGUGUGAUGCCUCCUCCUGCGGAGUUCAAGUGUGCUUCUAGAAGGCUGAAGACUCAGGUGUGACAUGUACAAGGGAUUAACCGUUUCCUCCCGACAGCAGAUAAAAGCCACGUUGCCUUGGGCAAGCCACGUUGCUGUUAAAACAUCAGCUCCCGUGAGGCUCAGAAGAGGAGCAAGAAAUCCCCUUGUCUUUGCCGAGUGCAUGGGGGGGAGAUGCAAUUCUUCUGACAGCCAGAUCAUGUUUGAUAUCAUCCGAGCCGACUCCACAGACGUGUCAAAUGAGGGAAGAUAGCAGAAGUCGACCUGGCAGCUUAAUUGGCUUCCACUUCGGUGUAUCCUGUUUUAAAGGGGACGGCACACGUCUGGGGCAAGAGGAAAGCACGUUGAUAACAUCAGUCAGCGUGGCAUCCCGGAGCACCUCCUCCCACAGCCUCAAGUUGUUCUGUGCUGCACAAUUCCUGCUAGGAAUACCACUCAGCUGCUUUCCAAAGUAUGAGUCUGUUCUCAGUCAAACAUCCCAAGGUCUCCUGACCUUCUCCUCUGUGCUCUCCCUCUCUCAGAAGCUGCAAUCUGUCCCACAUACCACCUCCUCUCCCCCAGGCCCUGUUUAUGAGGCUGUGUAUGGAGGAGUCAGGGAAUAACUGCAUGCAUGCUGCAGGAAGAGCAUCCCACUGUCUGGAUAUUGCUCCCAUAGCUGACAAGCUGAAACCAGCCUGAUUUAUAAACUGUCUCCCUGGAGUUUAUAAUCUCUCCAUGGAACAACACAGUAGUCAGAGAGAACAGGGAAAAAUACCUCCUGACCAAGAAGAUAUAUUACAGUAGCAGGAUGGUCUUUCAGCUGAUUAGAAGAAAAGCCUAUGUGCACAUUACAGCUAAAGUGGUGCCACUUAAACAUGCAAAAAGGAGAAGUAUAUGGUUGUUUAAAACAACUUGUUCCCAGUGCCUGAUGCACGAGCCUUGCAGCAGCCAGCCAGACUUAGCCUGGGUGUCAGUACUGGCAACAGCAGAACAAAACUUAAGGGAAACAGCCAGCUAAAGAAAUGUUAGCCUUAGGAAACAGCAGUUAAGACAAAUAAAUGAUGUCAAACUCUGGUGAA